rnacentral:rRNA from 1 species
CUACGGGCCGCUCCAGUGAGGAAUUUUGCGCAAUGGGGGCAACCCUGACGCAGCAACGCCGCGUGAGUGAAGAAGGCCUUUGGGUCGUAAAGCUCUGUCAAUUGGGAAGAAGUUAUGAGUGUCGAAUAGGCACUUGUAUUGACGGUACCAAUGGAGGAAGCGCCGGCUAACUCCGUGCCAGCAGCCGCGGUAACACGGGGGGCGCAAGGCGUUAUUCGGAAUUAUUGGGCGUAAAGGGCGCGUAGGCGGUCUUGUCGGUCAGAUGUGAAAGCCCGGGGCUCAACCCCGGACGUGCAUUUGAAACAGCAAGACUUGAGUACGGGAGAGGAAAGCGGAAUUCCUGGUGUAGAGGUGAAAUUCGUAGAUAUCAGGAGGAACACCGAUGGCGAAGGCAGCUUUCUGGACCGAUACUGACGCUGAGGCGCGAAGGCGUGGGUAGCGAACGGGAUUAGAUACCCGGGUAGUC